AACGAACGCUGGCGGCAGGCCUAACACAUGCAAGUCGAACGCCCCGCAAGGGGAGUGGCAGACGGGUGAGUAACGCGUGGGAACCUACCUAGAGGUGCGGAAUAGCCCAGGGAAACUUGGAGUAAUACCGCAUAAGCCCGCAAGGGGAAAGAUUUAUCGCCUUUAGAUGGGCCCGCGUCUGAUUAGCUAGUUGGUGAGGUAAUGGCUCACCAAGGCGACGAUCAGUAGCUGGUUUGAGAGAAUGACCAGCCACACUGGGACUGAGACACGGCCCAGACUCCUACGGGAGGCAGCAGUGGGGAAUCUUGGACAAUGGGGGCAACCCUGAUCCAGCCAUGCCGCGUGAGUGACGAAGGCCUUAGGGUUGUAAAGCUCUUUUGGCGGGGACGAUAAUGACGGUACCCGCAGAAUAAGUCCCGGNUAACUUCGUG
rnacentral:rRNA from 1 species